GGCCUAAUGGCCCAAUGGCAAGGCGCUUGACUACGAUUCACUCAAUCUGACAUCAAGAGAUUCCAGGUUCGACCCCUGGUUAGGUCA
rnacentral:tRNA from 1 species